GACGGAUCAGUCUGUUCAGGUCAGCUGAGAAAGGAAAGAGCUCAGUGUUCAGAGGUUCAGAGAAGUGACAGGACUGGCGAGGACAGAGGGCGGAGACAGGCAGACCCUGGACAUGUUUCUGUGCCCGCUGGCCUUCCUUGGCUUCAUCUAACUAACAAGAAGCCCUCUGCAGAGCCUGCUACGUGGGGCCCGGUGGCACAUGGAAGAGAUGGGCUUUCAGGGGCAGUCAUUUGGCCCACUCAGAUGAGCCCCACUAGCAGGUCUCGAGUGCUGUCCUCUCCACCAAGAUCACAGGAGUCGAUGGUGAGCACCCACUUCCCCAGCCCCAUCUCCUGCCUGUCCUGUAGGGCAACUGUCCAAAGACAGGGCUGUGGACCAUGCCUGGGUGUUCACCCAUCGUACUCCAUCUCAUGUCUACCCGUAGUAGUCAUUACCUGCCCUCAAACAUUCCGCCUGAGGCUGCCAGUUCUUGUAGGAAGUGGCCCCGGUGCCAGGCCAACAGCUUUCCUAGGCUUCAGAACACCGAGAUGAUUUCGGGCCAUCACUGAUCUUCACCCACCAGAGAAGUUUUUCACCAGGGGCUUUUCCUGACGUCAAAGUAACAGCCAGGUUAAGGGAACCCCUGGCCUGGGGGUGUCCCCCUGCCCACCCCCUGCAGCCCACAGCCCACCUGUCCUGCCUGCUGACAGGUCUCCUCCCACUCCUCCCGGCCUUGUUUGCACUGGAAAGUUGGGGUGCAUCGGCUGUGCACCUGAAUGUGUUAUUUGCUUCUGCUUAAAGAUCAUAAAGUCAGUAAAUUGUUUAAAAUAUAACUCAUUUGAGGGUCUAGCUCCUGCAAAGUCUGUUUGUCUUCUUUCAAAGCAUGCCUUAACUCAGCCCCUUCCUUUAUAAAACAGUCCAGCUCCAUAGAAAUUUUAAACAAACUGUCUCUCUCCUCUGGGCUUGGACUCAGCCCCCUCCCGGUCACAGGCCUGCCUGGAAGAAGCAGGUUGGGCCCUCUCAGCCGCUUCUGUUUAUAUCUGGGCCCAUUAUCAUGAAGGGCACUUUUAUUUGAGGAGUUGAGUAUUACAUUAGCAUUAUAAAACAAAUUGUUUUUCCAUUGCUUGAGAGCCAGGGAGAAUAAACCUGGACGGGCCAUGGCCUCCUAUUUAAAUAAACUAACGUCAUCCUGGGUACCAAGGAGCCUGAUUCGCCCCCCUGUUCCCCGCUUGGGCCGAGUUGUCCUCCCGGCCGCCUCUUUGGUCCCCUGGCCUCUGGGGCUCAGUGGGCUGUUCCCAGGGAAGCCUUCACCCUCUCUCCACCAGGGCUGUACAGUGACCCCGAGUCCAAUGGCAGAAAGGAUGGGGCUCAUCACAGGGCCCAGGACCCCAAAGGUUACAAAGCACCCACCCCUCCCCAUCUGACCCUCACCACCCCCAGCCGCACGCUUGGGCCUCCCUCCUCCUGUGCCUCCGGGACCGUCUCCCCACCUGCGGGAGGCCAGGUGUGUGGCUCCAGAGACCCUCCACCUGAACUACCCGCUCCCAGAGCCCCAGUCAGGGCCGCCAGAGGUCGCGGAGGGUGAAGCCAAUGGGCCUGGACGCCGAGGCCGGGGAGAGGAAGGAGCGAGGCAGCCCUCCAGCGGGUUCUGGUGGCGCCGAGAGCUUCGAGGGGACUCAACGCGCUUUGUAGGGCCUGUGAAAUCCGGCUUGUCGCAUAAGCUCCCUGAAGAAGAGAACAAACUUCCCAGACCAGGGGCCCGCGGGGAGCGGUGCAGACACCGCGGCAACCCACCCCGAGCCCGCCGGCCCUCGCUCCGUGCGCCCAAGGGGCGUCCCCCGAGGUGUCGCCUGCAAGGCAGCCGCGUACGUCGUUCUCAGUGCGGGUCCUGGGGGCGGCGGUGCCGGGGGUACGGCCUGGGGUCCCGUCGGUGUCCACUGCCCGCCUGGGCGCUGGGGCCGCAGAUCGGGGCUACACGGCUCGCGCCGACCGAACGCUGCCGCCAGAGCGGUGGAAAAGCGCUGGGCAGGCCGGCCUGGGGCUUUCGAGCUCUGCCGCCGAGCGCAGCAGAAAUACGGUGUGCAGGCAGGACCCGAAACAGGAGAGACCGGGGGGACCGGGGAGGAGAGGAAGGCUGGCUGUGGCAGGAACCCGGGCGCUCGGCACCUCCCCUGGUCCCGGGGGCCCUGAACCCCCGCCGCCGUCGCCGCCGGACCCCGCGAUCGUCCUGAACCCGGGCCGGGCGCUUUCGGUUUCCCGGCGCUCUGCGGCGCUGCUUUGUUCACCCUGCGCGCGCGGUUCCCAGAGUCCAGAGCUGCGGGCCUGAGGCUGAGGGCCAGGGAGCGAGGCGAGCACCCGGGGCCAGCCACGGAGGAGUCCCGACCACCACGGGAGCAGGGGGACUGGGAGGCAAGAGGUCGGGGGAGGCCGGGGUCAGGGCGGGAGGAACCCGAUGGGUCCCGCUGCGGCUUCAGGCGCGGGGUAUAGGGUAGGACCAGGAAGGGGACUGAAGCCCGGGACCAGAGCUGGGGGUGCCAGGAGCGGGGCCUCCAGUGGGAGCUCGGGGGUCCUCGCGGGUUCUUCUGGGUCGGUUGGUGGCUACCCAUCCCCAGAAGCCUGGCUGCAUUCCCCUAUAAGGAGGCUUCGGAGGGCCCGACUGGGUUUCCCCUCCAGGGCACCGGGUCGCAAAAGCGGCGUCGAAAACUCAUGAACAGGCGGCCGGGUCUGGGGCCGCCGGGGCAGUCGUGGCGUGCGGGGGCGGGGGUCCUGCCCAUCAGGCUGACUUCAGGGUCUCGGUCUGCGGCCUCCCUGGCCGUCGCUGCCUCCUUUUCCAGGUGCGCCUCGGCCCAGGGCUCCCAGCCACCACCUUGGGGCCGCAGAAGGCGAGCGGUCACACCGGGGCUGAGGUCAGGAGCCGGCUCACCCCCUCUCCUGCGACUGUUCCCUGACCUGCGACUGUUCGGUUCUCCCGACUGGCCUUGGUCGUUGCCUUUUAGGGUCUCGGUGUGACCAACUAAGCAGACACUCAGCGGCAGCGCCGCGCUUGGGGAGACUGCAGGGCAGAAAUGGGCCUAGAGGUGAAGGAGCCCUUCCCAAAUCGGACAGUCCCGGGGCUGGAGAGCCGGGAGCAACCCAGUUCCCUGAAGAAAUGAUUGCAGCUGCUCAGGCAAAACACGGUCUCCAGCACUGGGAAGGCGACAGCGGCGACAGUGCACCGUCCCCCUUGCACGCACUGAGGAGCCUGUCUUGGAGCUGAGACCUCCUCGCCCCCUCCGAGCUUACUGAGCACCCGGCCGGCAGCCCCCCGACUCCCCAGGAUGCUGCCUUGACCCCACCUAAUCUGGUCACUCACCUCCUAACCUUUCAGGGUCCAAGAGGACCCGCGUCCUGCCCCACCUUGCUGGGUGCAGAGCCGGGUGCACGCGGGACCCGCACUCGCUCUGGGCGAACACGCAGCGCCCUUCCCGGCCUCAGGCCGAGCCGGACCGCAACGCCGCUAUUAGUAAGGACUAAAAACAAAAGUUCUCCCCGAAGCCCACCUUUCCCCAGUAAGAAGGUGUCAAGGGUUAAACCGUUCGAUUUGCCCUUUUUCUUGAUCUUAGAGGGAAGAGGCAAGAACUCCUGGCACCUUUAUGGGCCUCAGACCUGUGGCUGCUGCCAGCAGUCUCAGUCCCACUAACUUUGAUCAGCCUUAUUAAUUCCAGCUGUGCUCUAUUUGUUUGUCAUUUUCCCCUUUUCCUCUGGAAUCAUUAUUUAUAGCAGGAAAAAAAAAAGCCCACUGUUAGAAUGGAGGCAAGGAGGGAAUUUCUGAGAACGACUGGGUGAAUGUAUUUUUCCUUAAAGGUCACCAAAAAGGAGGAGAGGUGUAGGGGUGAGUCUUGACUCUUAUGAGCUCUUCUUUGAAUUUAUUACUCAAGAGCAUUAACUAAUUACCAGAUCAGAUAAAUGAAAAAAAAAUUCCCUAAAAUAACCCAAGGUAAUUAUAACCGUGCUGUUGACACUAACGAUUAAUAAUUGAUCAGGAGUCACACACAAUAAAUUGUCAAUUUAUCUCCCCACAAAAAUGCGAGUGCUUGUGUAGCAUUGUGUUUUGUUUCUUCCCUCUGGGUAUUUUCUGUGAAUAUCGAGUCCGUAUUGGAGGCAGCCCCAAACCUCAUAGUCAAUUCUUUAAGAAUAUUACAUUUCAUUUAUUUACAGCUCCAUAUAGAACAAAGUAACAUUAGAACACCUUUUAAAAAUACUUUUAUUAUCAUGGGGCCAGAGUUAAACAAACAAAAAAAAUUCUUCCUCUUUCCUUUUAUCUGGGAUUGCGCAAAUACGGACAACAGAUAUUUCCUUUCUUCAUUGUAUUAGCAAUACAGUCCUCUUAAAUUGUGUCUUCAAUUAUUAUCUUUCUUAGAAAGAGAGAGAACACUCUGCCUUCACGGUAGGAAACACAAGACUAUUCUCUGUUCCAAGGGUGGAGGGGACAGAGGUGCCGGUUGAGGCCACAUCCAUCUGUUUCUAGGGAUGCAGCUGAAGGGAGAGGCUGAUGCAUACAAGUGGGGUGUCUGCUUCCUAAAACUGGGGCUCAAAGUGUUUUCUCUUCCACCCAUCAAUGGCUGAGGUCCAAGUGCAUAUUGUUGAAAACCAGAUUCGUAGCAUUCUAGCCCAAGCAAAGGGGAGGGCUAGUGAGUGCUUUCAUUAUGGCCAAUAGAUAGUAAUUUUCAGCAACUGGAAAAUUAUAUUGUCAUAGAUUACUUCUCCUUAUAAUUAGCCUUUAAAAUAUCUGUAGGGAUUUGUCACUUGCAUAAAGGUUUGAAAAUACAUCAAAGGGACAUGUCCCCCUUGCGAUUUGUAGAAAUUCAAAUGAUGUUAAUCAUAAUAUCCACAUAGCACAGACGGUUGUGUAUUGUUCCCAAGAUAGCCUCUUCGGUUAACGCUUUCAAAAAAAUAGUUAAAAUGUUAUGUUUGUAAAAGCAGUUUAAAACAUAUUUAUUAUAUCUAUUUAUAUUUUAAUUUUGAGUCUAAAUGAAUGUUUUCCUUGGGAUUCUCAAGGUACUGGGCAACUAAAGAAAAAUUAUAUAGUGAUAAUUAUUGUAUAUUGUUACUUGGAUGAAACUUUCUCAUAAUUCACUUCAGAGUGUUAUUGAAAUUUGAAAAUGCCUCUGAGUGGACCACAAAUUUGUUUGGAACAAUUUUUUUUUCCAAAUUGAUGUCUGUUUAAUUAGGCUGUAACAGUGGUAGUUUAGUAUGUACAUUCACUCCGUAGUUAAAAAACAAAGGGUCCACUUUACUUUUAGCCUCCUUGAUAUGUACUUAAAUGCAAUUGUAAAUGAUCCGAAAACGCGCACGGGCUUCGGAGGUGGCUAUUUCAUCUUUGUGUUUCUUCGCAGUGGUUCUCGCCUCCCAGAAUCCGCAGAGAUCUAAUAAACACAUAAGUUAAAGAGAGCCUCAGGGGAACCCCGAGCCCUCUCCCACCACUCUCCCAACUCCAGAAUGAGAUCCGCGGCGGCCCGGCGAGGGGGUUCUGGGGAGGCGCACCCCAGGCUGGCUACCCUGAGCCCAGGCCCAAGGCUGCCCCUCUAGGCCCCAGCACCCAGCCCCCUUCCUCUCUCCGCUCCCCGCCCCUCCUUCCUCGCAUCAGACAAAGGUGGAUGAAGUUCUUUUCAAGUUUCAAAGGCAGUUGCUGGGCAGCUUUGCAGAAACAAUAACUCUUUUAUUGGGAACAAAUGUUGACAUUUGACGGGCGCGGGAGGCAGCGCCCGCGCCGGCCGCCGGGCAAGCGCCCCGGUGCUCUCGGCAGCCCCCGGCCCCCGGGGCCCACCUGAGAUUAAAGCGCGAAUUCCGAUAAAUCAGCUCUAAGGAAACCCUGGGCCGCGGAGAGCAGAAGGGCUGUCGCGGAUCCACCACGCGGGCGCCGGGCCGCGGAGCCGGGAGCGCGCCCAGGCCUGCACCCGCAGCAAAGCCAAGGCCACCGCCCCAAAGCCCAUCUGCUCCUGGUCGCCCCGUUUUGCCGACGUCUCCCCGGCCUCAGUCAACAACAGCAAACUUCUAUCUUGGAGGGCUAGGUAAUUUUUGACUAUGAAAAUUUUAAAGCAAAAAUAAAAUUCAGACCCCAUUAACUUCCCUCUCCAGUGAAAGAUAUCUCUCUCUUUCUCUCUCCUUCCUUCCUCGUUCAUCUUUUCCAAUGACCAGCAUGGAGAGGAGCUCAUAAAUCACUCUACAUUUCUUUAAAAAGAUCCUUCUAAACACCUGCAGGUUUUAGGUUCUUAGUGUAUAUUUUAGAAAUCAAGUUCUCUAGAAGGAAAUUCAGGUCAGGAGACAGAGUGGGUAAGUUAUGGAAAUCUUUAAUAAUUUGUUGGGCAUAUAAACAUCAAAGAAGCUUCCUUAGCCUUGGCUAAUCUCCUGAGCUGCUUUGAGUUUUCACCAAUUGAAAUAUGCAUGUCCUCCCAGAGAAUGGAGUCGUGUGUGUGUGUGUGUGUGUGUGUGUGUGUGUGUGUGUGUGUGUGUUGAAAGGGAACAGGGAUCGCAUGUUCAGGUAAAACAAUCUUCCUCAUUCCAAAGGGAGGCGGCUUUUACCCCUGCUCCAAUGCCUGAACAUAAGCGCAAAGGUUAAUUUUGGCUUAGCUUUUCUACUCUCACACUUAAGAAAUGUACUGCCUUAAAUGUUGUAUCUUCAUUAGAGUGCAUGAUCUUUCCGUGUUUAUUUUGUUAAAUAUUGUUAACUUUCAUACUUUUCACAGAAGUCUUCCAAUUACUCUAGUUAUAACAUUACACAUAGCAGAGACAUUGCUGCCAUGUGCAAUUUAUUUCCUGCUGAUUUAGGAAAUAUGGGUAAUAUUAAUAAAAGUAAGCUACGUAAGACCUUCAGACAACAAUCUAAAACGCUUCCUGAAGGGGAAAAUCAUUAUCUCUAUGAAAAGUCUAUGAAGGUUUUAUUUCUAAAACCAAAACAAGCAAAUAUACUCAAUCCCCCUUUUACCCUCCAGACCUCAGAUGUGUUUGUUUCCAGAUACACUGCCAGAGUGGCAAAGCUUACCAUGUGAAAAAUCUUUCCUCCUGCCAAUAGAUAGCUCAGCUCCACACACGCUCAUAUCUAUUACUAGGAGAGGCAGAGAAGACAGAAAAACAGUUCUCCACCACAGAGAUUUACUUUAUGUCUGACCUCCAAAUGCUUCAAUAUUUAAAACUAACAAAAUACAUAAGAAAUAACAGAAAACAGAAACCUGGUUCUGCCCCCCUUCUCCACAGUCAAACCACAAUCACUUCUCCCCAUCGGUAUGGCUCUGUGUCCAGUUAACAGUCCCCUGGCUUGGCCUCAAGUAUCUAAGAUUACUUUCAAAUACCCUUUCUAACAAGACCCCAGCAAGAGGCCACUAAUUUCUAUGGCAAAAAAAGCCACUAGAGAGAGAUCCGUUUGUCAAUAUCAACUGGUCCAGCAAUUUCCCAUCCUCAGACACAUUGGCCUAUCGGAGCUGGCAGAUGUUUAGACAAGAUUUUAUAAAUUGUUCAAUAUCAGCCCAUAAUGAACCCC
rnacentral:lncRNA from 1 species